CGAAAUUCGACUUAGAAUAUUAGUCAAAAUAUUUUACACACGCUGUUUUUUUCUUUUGGCGAUCAGAGUAGACGCGAAUAAUCCGCAGAGCUGUCAAACGCUCUUCUGCCCCCAAGGGCUAGACAUCCUAUAGAAACGGACUUUAUUUGCAUGAGAGAUGCUCAUCAAGGCAAGGUGAUGAUUGCCAGAGGGAAAACAAAGAACCUGUAGUUGUGCAUCACCUGUGUGAUCAUGAGAAGGCUGAAGAACCAGGAGUGACAAGAUAUCACCGGCUGCUGGGGUGCAGCAUUAAACCCAGGGGCAGACAUUUUGGAAAUGAAAAGUCUCCUGCCACAAGAUCUUAGGAGCCAGAACAGAUCCAGAUGAUUACUGGCCAUUUGGAGGAAGUCUGAUCUUUCUGCUGUGUUGCACCUCUGUUACAGAUUCAUUGACCUUUUGUGGUAUGUUUUAAUUAAAUACACUGUAUAGUUAGGAUUCUUAAAUGUUAUCAGAACUACCUUAUACAGAGCCCCCAAGGGUUAGGAGAAUGAAGAAGAGGAAGACCACAGCUCCCUCAGCAUUUAGCCAACUUUGUAGUAGAAGUAAUCAACAAUGAAUUUGCCAAUUAAUAAAACUGAACUCACCUUAUGUCCUCGCCAAAAUUGGAGCUGGUUUCACUGUGUUUUAUGUGCACGGACAGCCAAGAAAGCAUUAUAUUUUUUCCCUCCUGCAUUUCCACUUUUACUCUUCAAUUUCUUCUUUAGUCUUACAUAUUUUAUAAAUCAGCCUUCAGACUUAAGAGAAACGCGUCAAAUGCUUACAAACAUAAUCAUCCGAGGAGUCUCUAACUUAAUACAUCAACAGAAUGCAGAACAUGGCGUUAGUCUUUAACGUUGAGGAAAACGCUGUUUCCCAUGUCGACUGGAUUUGCAUCCAAUAUAAUCAUGGCCUGCAAGCAACAGAGGACAAAAUAGCCAAAGCCCGUUUAUUCCCCAAAUAAAUAAACCCGUAAUAGACGUCCUAUUUUAAAUGUUCAACUGGCUUUGGUUAAAUAAUGUAGUUUCACUUUGUUUGUAUUAACAAUGAUACCUGGGAUAAUAUUUGUGUUUUCAGACCUACGCCUGAAGCUCAUUAUUGGGGUUUAAAUUCUAGCCUGGUAAACUGACAGAUGGGGUAGAUUGAUGUGACUGUGUUUAGAGAUCUAGUUUGGAGUAUCCUGGGGAUCACUCACUGAUUGUACAGACAGUCUGAAGACCAUGUCACAUUUUUGUGGGGAAACUUUCCUUGGCUCCAGGAAAGGGGGCAGACCCCCUGGGUAGGCCUUUAUCAACCUUUCCCCCUCAAAUCAAAGUAGUUUAUUUCAUUCAAGUGUUCUGCCUGCUCUCACCUGUGGUAAUUUCCCCAACAUGUAUGUUUAAAAGUGUGUUAAUCACACGUUACGUGCAUGGCUUUUCUGUCGAAGUGUAUGGUUUUUAAACAUAUUUGUAGUAAGGGUGGAGACCUGAAGUCUUCCAACAUUGUUAAUUGCUAGAACAAUCUUGAUGUCGUUGCAUGACAUAUACAUGAAAGUAAUGAUUUUGGCUGACCACCACUAUUUUGAAUAACAUAGACAUGCAUCUAAGUUGAGAAAAUUCCCUAGACUUUAGGAGGUUGAUUGAGUCAUGAUGUUGUGUGGUCAUUAGUUUGGCCAUUGCCUGUGGAAAUGCACAUUUUGAUAUGAUAAUUUAGGGGUUGUUUCACUGGGUAAGUCACCUUUGUCUAUAAGUUUUAUGGAUUAUUUUUUCUUCACACAAGCCACCCUGUGGCACAGUUGUUUUUUUAUUUAUUUUCUUUGUGGAUGUUUUUAUCAUUUGCAUAUUUGUUUUUGUUAGAUUUUCAGUUAGCGACUUUUUACUGAAUGACUGUUAGAUUCCUCCCAACUAUCGAUUUUCUUUUCAUGUCCGUCCUGAAAUGGUUCUGCUUUCACGCUUG
ensembl:lncRNA